GCCGGCUUAGCUCAGUUGGUAGAGCGGCUGAUUUGUAAUCAGCAGGUCGCGGGUUCGAUCCCUGCAGCCGGCACCA
rnacentral:tRNA from 1 species